CCAGUGUUUCAGCAUAGAGAGUCAUAUCCUGUAUCUGGUGGAGAGGUACCAGACGGUGGUGAUUAUUGGGGAGACAGGCAGUGGGAAGAGCACACAAAUACCUCAGUAUUUGCUGGAGGCCGAUGGGCUGCAGAGG